rnacentral:tmRNA from 2 species
GGGGGCGAAACAGGCUCGACGCGCGCGGUAAAGACUCGUUUUUUGCCCGGCAUGGUUCCGCCGUUAUCGGGCCAUAUUACAGGUGCCAAUGAUAAUCAUGAGGCGCUCGCUGUCGCUGCAUAAGCGAUAAGCGCGGUUCGGGGGGCACCGGGCAACAGAAGCCCCCCACU